rnacentral:tRNA from 1 species
CGAGGGUGAACAAAUAAGAACUGCUAACUCUUAUCUCCUAAGUCUAAAACCUUAGCUCUCU